rnacentral:piRNA from 1 species
UAGGUAGACGCCUGCUGAUCGGUGU